rnacentral:misc_RNA from 1 species
AAGUCGUAACAAGGUUUCCGUAGGUGAACCUGCGGAAGGAUCAUUAACACAAUCUCUUUUUUUUCUUCUCUUUCGAGAGGGAAAGAAAUUUACCCCACUUUGGAUGAAUUUUAUUGCUGGAGGGUUGCUUUGGGUGGUAUUCUCUACGAGGAUAUUCACACAGUGCAAUUCCUUUUGCAAACUUUAUUACCCCAUCAUUUUAAACCCAAACCUUUAUUACUGUCAUACAUUGGACUGAUAUGAAAAUCUGUUUUCAUGGUUCUACCAUGAAAGAGAUUGUCUAUUUUAAAAACUUAAAAU